UGGGCGUGUCUGAGAGCUACCAGCUGCAGCUGAUCCCGCCAUCAAGGCCCUGGGAUUUAAGGAGCAGUGUGACACUUCACCACGCCAGAUGAUUACUCUGUUUGGGUACGUCUAGCCUCUAACCUGUAUCUCUUUCUAGAUAACCUGCCGCCUGAAAAAUCCCUGAUAGCUCUUCCCUGCUCUCCUUCAGGUUUCGCUCCACAUUCCACCAUCUCCAUAACCAACCCGGACUUCUGCACUCCAGACCACACUGCCUCCUCCUCUGGCCGCCCGCUCUCAGCCGCUCACCUGCCCUCAUUAACCUCCGCUCCUACAUCACCUCUGGAUAAAACAGUUUUUCGCCUUCUGGAUCUCCUCUGCUCACCCGGACCUGACCAAGCCCUCCCUGUGCAUUCUACCGCUACCUGAAAACUAACCUCCUCCUGGAAUCCAGCUACAUGUGCAGAGCAUCUUCUGUUCCCGUCACUCCUUUUAGUUCCUCAUUUGAAAUUAAACAAACCUUUUUACACA